UACGAAGGGGGCUAGCGUUUUUCGGAAUUACUGGGCGUAAAGCGCGUGUAGGCGGGCCGUUAAGUCGGGGGUGAAAGCCCAGAGCUCAACUCUGGAACUGCCUUCGAUACUGGCGGCCUGGAGCAUGAUAGAGGCGAGUGGAAUUGCGAGUGUAGAGGUGAAAUUCGUAGAUAUUCGCAGGAACACCAGUGGCGAAGGCGACUCGCUGGAUCAUUGCUGCCGCUGAGACGCGAAAGCGUGGGGAGCAAACAGG
rnacentral:rRNA from 1 species